rnacentral:rRNA from 1 species
CCUACGGGCGGCAGCAGUGAGGAAUAUUGGUCAAUGGGCGCGAGCCUGAACCAGCCACGUCGCGUGAGGGAAGACGGUCCUAUGUAUUGUAAACCUCUUUUGUCGGGGAGCAAAAGACGCCACGCGUCGCGUUCCGCGAGUCCCCGAAGAAAAAGCAUCGGCUAACUCCGUGCCCGCAGCCGCGGUAAUACGGAGGAUGCGAGCGUUCUCCGGAUUUAUUGGGUUUAACGGGUGCGCAGGCGGAAGGUCAAGUCAGCGGUAAAAUUGAGAGGCUCAACCUCUUCGAGCCGUUGAAACUGGUUUUCUUGAGUGAGUGAGAAGUAUGCGGAAUGCGUGGUGUAGCGGUGAAAUGCAUAGAUAUCACGCAGAACUCCGAUUGCGAAGGCAGCAUACCGGCGCUCAACUGACGCUCAUGCACGAAAGUGUGGGUAUCGAACAGGAUUAGAUACCCCAGUAGUC